CCUCCGCAAGGAGGUGAAAGCGGCGAAAGGGUUAGUAAAGCAUGGGCAACGUACCCACAGGACCGGGAUAACUGCUGGAAACGGCUUGUAAUACCGGAUAGUCAGGACGGGCGGCAUCGCCUGUCCUGUAAAUGGUAGGAUUACCUUCUGCCUGUGGAGCGGCCCAUGUCCCAUCAGCUAGUUGGUGAGGUAACGGCUCACCAAGGCUGCGACGGGUAUCCGGACUGAGAGGUUGGCCGGAAACACUGGGACUGAGACACUGCCCAGACUCCUACGGGAGGCUGCAGUCGAGAAUCUUCGGCAAUGGACGCAAGUCUGACCGGGUGACGCCGCGUGUAGGAUGAAGGCUUUCGGGUUGUAAACUACUGUUGCACGACAGGAAACCAUCGCGGUUAAUAGCCACGAUGUUGACCAUCGUGUGAGGAAGCACAGGCUAACUCCGUGCCAGCAGCCGCGGUAAUACGGAGUGUGCAAGCGUUACUCGGAUUCACUGGGCAUAAAGCGCACGUAGGCGGGAAGACCAGUCGAUGGUGUAAUCCCCCGGCUCAACCGGGGAACUGCUGUCGAAACAGUCUUUCUUGAGGACAUGAGGGGAGAGCGGAACUUCUGGUGGAGCGGUGAAAUGCGUAGAUAUCAGAAGGAAUAUCGAUGGCGAAAGCAGCUCUCUGGCAUGUUUCUGACGCUGAGGUGCGAAAGCUUGGGUAGCAAACAGGAUUAGAUACCCUGGUAGUCCAAGCCGUAAACGAUGGGCACUAGGCAGGGGAGGCUCCGAUGCCUUCUCUGCUGCAGCUAAUGUCUUAAGUGCCCCGCCUGGGAAGUACAGUCGCAAGGCCGAAACUCAAAGGAAUUGACGGGGGCUCACACAAGCGGUGGAGCAUGUGGUUUAAUUCGAAGCAACGCGCAAAACCUUACCUG
rnacentral:rRNA from 1 species